GGACACCUCCACUCCUUCCUUAUACCUCUGGAAAUUUUCAUUAAUUCCAGGUGUGGAAAAUGGUCUCCAACCCAAUGGCCUACUAAGAUUGAAACAACGACACUUACUGCAGA
rnacentral:lncRNA from 12 species